rnacentral:rRNA from 1 species
UAGGCGGCUUUUUAAGUGUGAAGUGAAAGUCCUGCUUUCAAGGUGGGAACUGCUUUGCAAACUGGAGAGCUUGAGUGCGGAAGAGGUAAGUGGAAUUCCCAGUGUAGCGGUGAAAUGCGUAGAGAUUGGGAGGAACACCAGUGGCGAAGGCGACUUACUGGGCCGUAACUGACGCUGAGGCGCGAAAGCGUGGGGAGCGAACAGGAUUAGAUACCCUGGUAGUCCACGCUGUAAACGAUGAAUGCUAGGUGUAGCGGGUAUCGACCCCUGCUGUGCCGCAGUAAACACAAUAAGCAUUCCGCCUGGGGAGUACGGCCNCAAGGUUGAAACUCAAANGAAUUGACGGGGGGCCCNCNCAAGCAGC